CUACGGGGGGCAGCAGUGGGGAAUAUUGCACAAUGGGGGAAACCCUGAUGCAGCAACGCCGCGUGGAGGAUGACGCAUUUCGGUGUGUAAACUCCUUUUAUAUCCCAAGAUAAUGACGGUAGGAUAUGAAUAAGCACCGGCUAACUCCGUGCCAGCAGCCGCGGUAAUACGGAGGGUGCAAGCGUUACUCGGAAUCACUGGGCGUAAAGGGCGCGUAGGGGGGUUGUCAAGUCUUGAGUGAAAUCCAACGGCUCAACCGUUGAACUGCUUGAGAAACUGGCAGCCUAGAGUGAGGGAGAGGUAGAUGGAAUUGGUGGUGUAGGGGUAAAAUCCGUAGAGAUCACCAGGAAUACCCAUUGCGAAGGCGAUCUGCUGGAACUCUACUGACGCUGAGGCGCGAAAGCGUGGGGAGCAAACAGGAUUAGAUACCCCGGUAGUC
rnacentral:rRNA from 1 species